ensembl:lncRNA
GUUCUAUAAGGAGCAGGAAAGGCACUGGGAUGAGAGGGAGAACCAGAACCAGGACCAGGCCAAGUAGGAAACGCGAGGAGGAGGAGAGACAUCAAGGUGAGGAGGACAUAAAACGUGCAGAGGAGAAGAGAGCGAGGGAGCUGUAUAUCUCCCUAGAGCAGGAACAAAGGAGUGAGAAUGAUGAGAAGGAAUGGGAGGCGCAACUCCCUGUGGGCAAUAGAGAAGGGCCGUGUGGCGGUACCUCCCUCAGGAGACAGCACUGUGCUAGAGUCAUCCUCCUCGACCACCCACAGCACAGAGCGUACCCACUGCCCCAGCCUCCAGCCUGCUGCUCCUCCGCUGUACCGCCGCGGACAGUGCCCGAAGACACAGCCUCACUGUUUCACAGCCACUGACGUACAGGACAGUUACAGAAUUGGCCUACUAUUCAUGAAUAUGUACACGGAUAGACAUAGCAUAAUUACUAUGCGGCACCCAAUCCAUAUACAGAUAAGAUGCAUAGAAUGGUGAUGUAAAAAAAAGUGUAUAAUAUAUAUCGAGAGAUACACAGAAGCAGACCCAAUAGACCCGCAAGGCUUUUUUUGUGCCUGGAACUCAUCUAAAGCAUGAUGCAC